AUUGAACGCUGGCGGUAUGCUUUACACAUGCAAGUCGAACGGUAACAGGUCUUCGGAUGCUGACGAGUGGCGAACGGGUGAGUAAUAUAUCGGAACGUGCCCAGUCGUGGGGGAUAACGUAGCGAAAGUUACGCUAAUACCGCAUACGAUCUAUGGAUGAAAGCGGGGGAUCGCAAGACCUCGCGCGAUUGGAGCGGCCGAUAUCAGAUUAGGUAGUUGGUGGGGUAAAGGCUCACCAAGCCAACGAUCUGUAGCUGGUCUGAGAGGACGACCAGCCACACUGGAACUGAGACACGGUCCAGACUCCUACGGGAGGCAGCAGUGGGGAAUUUUGGACAAUGGGCGCAAGUCUGAUCCAGCCAUUCCGCGUGCAGGAUGAAGGCCCUCGGGUUGUAAACUGCUUUUGUACGGAACGAAAAGGUCUCUCCUAAUACGAGGGGCUCAUGACGGUACCGUAAGAAUAAGCACCGGCUAACUACGUGCCAGCCGCCGCCGUAAUAC
rnacentral:rRNA from 1 species